UGAAUGUUGACAUAGUCUUUAAUCUUGAAUCCGCACAACACAGAUGUUCUUCAAUAUUCUUGAGCUUCAAAAUGUCAGUGAUGAUUGCAGCGCUUCCAAGUUGAUGAAGAUAUCUUGAUCAUUGGGGAUUCUCUCUUUAAAUCGUGUUAAACUCAAAUAGACAACAAAACUUGUGGCACCGAUUAAACAUUAGUAGUUGGCCACUUAAGCCUUAGUUGUCCAAGCUUUUUAGAAUUUUCUUAAUUCUUUUUCUAAGUAGAGUUUCAACAAGAUAUCUUUCUCAAUAUAUAUAUUUUUUAGGGUUUUAAUCUUUCUAUGAAGCAAAAAGGAAAUGGAACAUGAUGAAUGCAUGUUUAUUUAUUUUUAUUUUAUUUUUUUAUUCCACCACGGUGAAUAUGCCUGUGGGCUUUUACACACCACACAAUUUAUUCACUUGGGGUUCUAGUAUUUAAGAUGCAAUGAGUUAUAUAAAAUAUUUUUAUUAUAUUUUCUAAUGCAAUAAUAAUGCAGAAAGAUAAAUAUGUUAUGGAGAAAUAAAUAUGCUAAAAACAAAUGCAGAAAAGAUAAAUACAAUAAACCUACUAAAGCUAGUGAUACAUUAAAUUAGCAGACAUCAAGAUCAUUAUCAAAAUCAUCACACCAAUUGCUUCCCUGGAAACGGCGCCAAAAAUGCUUGUUCACA
rnacentral:lncRNA from 1 species